GCAUGGCUGUACUCAGACAAUAUGCAGGAGGUAGAGGAGGUAAUUAUUGGAUUAUUAGCAUGCUUUGCUGUUGAGGUGCAUUGCCUAGCAAAAACCUAAAGGUCCAUAGAAUGCACCUGAACAAAUGCUGUUUGGUGAAAACACAAGUGUGAUCAAAUGCCAUGGACCCACAGGAAGCUGGUGGCUCUCUUACAACACUAGAGCUGCCCUUGGAGUCCAAAGAGGCCCAAGACACCAAACUCAGUAAGAGGAGAGCUCUGCAGCAGCAGGGAAAAUGCAGUCCUUCUUCACAAAUGAUGGAAGAUGAGCAUGGUCAGAGAUGAGUUUGGGAGCUCUUUUCUCUGUAUUGCCAACAAGCAUUUUCCUGGGCGUGUCUUCCAGAUGCAUGGCAUUCUAGAUUUUAUGUGCAAAAUGAUCAGAAAUGGUGGGGGAAAUGGAGAGGGCUGGUCAAAGGAUACAAAGCUUCAGUAUAAGAUGAAUAAACUCAGGGGAUCCAAUUUACAGCAGGGGGCUAGCAUCAACAAUACUGUAUUGCUUAUCUUGAAAUUUGCUGAUUGAGUAGAUCUUAACUGUACUCACCCCUCCAAUACACACCAUACAUGCACAAAAUGGUAACUGUGUGUGGUAAUGGCUGUGUAAUCUGUGGUAAUCACAAAUUAAUGUAUAUCAAAUCACCAUGUUGUGCAUGUUUAAUAUAUGUAAUUUUUAUUUGUCAAUUAUGCCUCACCAAAGCUUGUGGGUGGGGGGAAUAAUGAACUCUGAUGUAAGGUAUGGCCUCUGGGUUAUGAUGUGUAAAUGCAGGCUCAUCAGUCCCACAAAUGUCCCACUCUGGGGGAAUGUGAGAAUGGAGACUGUGCAUGUGUGGGGGCAUGGGGUAUAUGGGAACUGUAACUUCCCUUCCAUUUUUCUGUGAAGUUAAAACUGCUUUUUUAAAAGUCUGUUUAAAAAAUAAAAAUAAAAUGAAGAAUGAUGACCGUGCUGACGUGACUUUUCAGUGGAACUUACUUAAAAACAUAAUGAGUGUUUCACUAAAUUUUUCAGUCAGUUUCAGUUCACCUCAAUGAAAUUAACUGCUAUAUGCUCUUCUGGGUUAUUUACUAUUGAAAUUGUAGGGUUUUUUUUCUAAAGGGGCAGUAGUUUAUUAAUUCUAGAAAAGAAAGGAGGGAGGCAGAGGCAGGAGGAUGGCUUGACCGCCCCACUGCACCCCAGCCUGGGCCACAGAGAGAGACUCCAUGUUUGUUUGUCUGCUUAAAAAGAAAGGUAAAAGGAAAGGAAAGAAAAAAGAAAAGGAAAGGGAAAGAGAAAGAAAGGAAAAAUGGAAGGAAAGGAAAAUGGAAAGGAAAGAUAAGGAAAUUAAAUUCACUGCUUCUCAAAGGAUCUGAUAUCCUUUGAUAUCCCUCAGUCUGUAGUAUUCUGAAGGAGUCAUACUCACAUAGGAGCCAGGCCCUUGCAGCUCUCCAGAAUCACUCUCCUGGUGCAAAGCGCAAAGGCGUCAAGAGAACAGCAGGCACCCACGUGCGAUCAGGACUCCAGACGCACAGCCCCGCGCAGGUGCAGGCUACCCAUGCAGAGUGGCAGCAAGCAAGGAAGGAAGGGUAACGGGGAGCGAUGAUUCCGCGGGAACAGCCAGUGCCCCUGGGAGCUGCUAAGCUCCUCCUCUCAGUUGUCCCGGCUGUGGAAUCAUGCGCCUCUGGACCCCUAGAAGGAACGUUCUAGUGCAUUCAGGGUUAUGUGCAGGGUGAGCGCUUCUCACGCCCAACAGCACCUAUAAGAAAAUGGCACCUCGCUAAUGACUGGCGUGCACUUUCCUAGGGCACAACUACCCGGAUGCCUAGCGGUAUAUGGAUACUUAAAAUUAGUUUUCCUAUUUUUAUACAGAAAGCUGACCUAAGUCAAAGCAAGCCACAGAGCGUGGGCACAUGGAGAGGAGGAUGAUGGCCCUCUUGCGCUGCCCUCUACCCAUGAAGCCAGUUCUCCACUGGACAGGAAGCAACCCAGCCAGGCAGAGGGCGCUGAGAAGAUUCAGGGCUAAGCAAACUGGGCUGUGAUACUGGAUUGAUCAUUUAACAACUGCCUGCCCUUGGGCAGUUCAUUAAACCUCUGUAGUUGAUUUCCUCAUCUGAAAACGAGCUCUAACAAUCUUCAUUUCAUAGGUGUGUUGUGAAUUUGAGUGAGCUCAACAGGAGCUCUGAAAAUCAGUCCUGUCAUAGCUGAUCUCUGACUGCAUGUAACUAACUCCAGCCAUUCUUUUUUUAUUUAUUUUUUUAGACGGUGUCUGGCUCUGUCGCCCAGGCUGGAGUGCAGUGGCGCGAUCUCGGCUCACUGCAAGCUCCGCCUCCCGGGUUCACGCCAUUCUCCUGCCUCAGCCUCCCGAGUAGCUGGGACUACAGGCGCCCGCCACUACGCCCGGCUAAUUUUUUGUAUUUUUAGUAGAGACGGGGUUUCACUGUGUUAGCCAGGAUGGUCUCCAUCUCCUGACCUCGUGAUCCACCUGCCUCGGCCUCCCAAAGUGCUGGGAUUACGGGCCUGAGCCACCGCGCCCGGCCACUCCAGCCAUUCUUAAUCCAAGGCUUCCCUGCCCGGCUUCACACCAGUCCCUUUGGGAUCUCUCAAUUCAUCACAUGGUUUUGUCGUCUUCCAUUGAAAUUCCAACCUGUUUGGCCAAUGGAGAAGGCAAGUGUUAAGCCAUUUAUAGUAUUAUCCCCACUCCUAAAAUCUAUUCUUCAUAUAUAAGCCUUCCUUAUCCAAGACAUAAACCAGCACCCCCUCCAAAGAAAGGGAAAAAAAGGGACUGCUGCUGAUCUUUCUGUUGAGGAAUAAAUCAAUGUUAUUCUGAAACUAUCUCUUGUUAAUAUGAUUCUAAGUAUGUAUUACUUGCACCACUGAAACCACAUAAGCUAAACCUUCAAAAGGCAACUGUCCUGCAGCCAUACAAUUUGAGAUUUUUAGCUGAGCACAGAGACUCCUGGGGCCAUGACAAUUAAGUGCAUCCAAG
rnacentral:lncRNA from 1 species